rnacentral:rRNA from 1 species
AAUUUUGGACAAUGGGGGCAACCCUGAUCCAGCCAUCCCGCGUGUGCGAUGAAGGCUUUCGGAUCGUAAAACUCUGUUGUUAGGGAGGGACAAGUAUAAGGCGAAUAACAUUAUACCUUGACGGUAACUAAACAGAAAGCCCCGGCAAACUACGUGCCAGCAGCCGCGGUAAUACGUAGGGGGCGAGCGUUGUCCGGAAUUAUUGGGCGUAAAGGGAGCGUAGGCGGUCUCUUAAGUCUGAUGUGAAAGCCCACGGCUUAACCGUGGAGGGUCAUUGGAAACUGGGAGACUUGAGUGCAGAAGAGGAGAGUGGAAUUCCAUGUGUAGCGGUGAAAUGCGUAGAGAUAUGGAGGAACACCAGUGGCGAAGGCGACUCUCUGGUCUGUAACUGACGCUGAGGCACGAAAGCGUGGGGAGCAAACA